AGUGAACGCUGGCGGUAGGCCUAACACAUGCAAGUCGAACGGCAGCACAGUAAGAGCUUGCUCUUACGGGUGGCGAGUGGCGGACGGGUGAGGAAUACAUCGGAAUCUACUUUUUCGUGGGGGAUAACGUAGGGAAACUUACGCUAAUACCGCAUACGACCUACGGGUGAAAGCAUGGGAUCUUCGGACCUUGCGCGAUUGAAUGAGCCGAUGUCGGAUUAGCUAGUUGGCGGGGUAAAGGCCCACCAAGGCGACGAUCCGUAGCUGGUCUGAGAGGAUGAUCAGCCACACUGGAACUGAGACACGGUCCAGACUCCUACGGAAGGCAGCAGUGGGGAAUAUUGGACAAUGGGCGCAAGCCUGAUCCAGCCAUACCGCGUGGGUGAAGAAGGCCUUCGGGUUGUAAAGCCCUUUUGUUGGGAAAGAAAAGCAGCAGGUUAAUACCCCGCUGUUCUGACGGUACCCAAAGAAUAAGCACCGGCUAACUUCGUG
rnacentral:rRNA from 1 species